AGUCGAGCGAACAGAUAAGGAGCUUGCUCCUUUGACGUUAGCGGCGGACGGGUGAGUAACACGUGGGUAACCUACCUAUAAGACUGGGAUAACUUCGGGAAACCGGAGCUAAUACCGGAUAAUAUUUCGAACCGCAUGGUUCGAUAGUGAAAGAUGGUUUUGCUAUCACUUAUAGAUGGACCCGCGCCGUAUUAGCUAGUUGGUAAGGUAACGGCUUACCAAGGCGACGAUACGUAGCCGACCUGAGAGGGUGAUCGGCCACACUGGAACUGAGACACGGUCCAGACUCCUACGGGAGGCAGCAGUAGGGAAUCUUCCGCAAUGGGCGAAAGCCUGACGGAGCAACGCCGCGUGAGUGAUGAAGGUCUUCGGAUCGUAAAACUCUGUUAUUAGGGAAGAACAUACGUGUAAGUAACUGUGCACGUCUUGACGGUACCUAAUCAGAAAGCCACGGCUAACUACGUGCCAGCAGCCGCGGUAAUACGUAGGUGGCAAGCGUUAUCCGGAAUUAUUGGGCGUAAAGCGCGCGUAGGCGGUUUUUUAAGUCUGAUGUGAAAGCCCACGGCUCAACCGUGGAGGGUCAUUGGAAACUGGAAAACUUGAGUGCAGAAGAGGAAAGUGGAAUUCCAUGUGUAGCGGUGAAAUGCGCAGAGAUAUGGAGGAACACCAGUGGCGAAGGCGACUUUCUGGUCUGUAACUGACGCUGAUGUGCGAAAGCGUGGGGAUCAAACAGGAUUAGAUACCCUGGUAGUCCACGCCGUANACGAUGAGUGCUAAGUGUUAGGGGGUUUCCGCCCCUUAGUGCUGCAGCUAACGCAUUAAGCACUCCGCCUGGGGAGUACGACCGCAAGGUUGAAACUCAAAGGAAUUGACGGGGACCCGCACAAGCGGUGGAGCAUGUGGUUUAAUUCGAAGCAACGCGAAGAACCUUACCAAAUCUUGACAUCCUUUGACAACUCUAGAGAUAGAGCUUUCCCCUUCGGGGGACAAAGUGACAGGUGGUGCAUGGUUGUCGUCAGCUCGUGUCGUGAGAUGUUGGGUUAAGUCCCGCAACGAGCGCAACCCUUAAGCUUAGUUGCCAUCAUUAAGUUGGGCACUCUAAGUUGACUGCCGGUGACAAACCGGAGGAAGGUGGGGAUGACGUCAAAUCAUCAUGCCCCUUAUGAUUUGGGCUACACACGUGCUACAAUGGACAAUACAAAGGGCAGCGAAACCGCGAGGUCAAGCAAAUCCCAUAAAGUUGUUCUCAGUUCGGAUUGUAGUCUGCAACUCGACUACAUGAAGCUGGAAUCGCUAGUAAUCGUAGAUCAGCAUGCUACGGUGAAUACGUUCCCGGGUCUUGUACACACCGCCCGUCACACCACGAGAGUUUGUAACACCCGAAGCCGGUGGAGUAACCAUUGGAGCUAGCCGUCGAA
rnacentral:rRNA from 1 species